rnacentral:lncRNA from 1 species
CUAGUUUUCUUUAAAACGUUAUUUUUGUAGGCCUUUUGAUCAAGUCUAAUUAUGAAAUAUCAAUAAAGAAAAAUUUUUGUUAUAUCAUUUUGAAUGGUGUUACAAUUUUGCAUGGACAGCUGAACAAUGAUAUCUAUGUUGUAUCUAGGCCUAAUGUAAUGUAUAUUUCUAAUAAACACCCUAGAAUAGAUGAUGUCACGGA